AUUAGAUACCCCACUAUGUUUCGCCCUAAACAUUGAUAGUACUACACCCCGCUAUCCGCCCGGGGACUACGAGCAAUAGCUUAAAACCCAAAGGACUUGGCGGUGCUUUAGAUCCGCCUAGAGGAGCCUGUUCUAGAACCGAUAAUCCCCGUUCAACCUCACCUUUUCUUGUUAAAUCAGCCUAUAUACCGCCGUCGUCAGCCUACCCUGUGAAGGCCCAGCAGUGAGCUUAAUUGGCACAGCCCAAAACGUCAGGUCGAGGUGUAGCUAACGAAAAGGGAAGAAAUGGGCUACAUUCACUACUUAGCAGUGAAUACGAAGAGUGUGCUGAAAUGCACACUUAAAGGAGGAUUUAGCAGUAAGUAGAAACUAGAGUGUUCUACUGAAACCGGCUCUGAAGCGCGCACACACCGCCCGUCA
rnacentral:rRNA from 1 species